CAAUGUUAAUAACAUUACACAUAUAUAGAUAUUUUUGUCAAGCUUUAAUAAGCUUUUGUUUAGCCUUAAAUAAUUUAAUUUAAUAAAUAACGACAGUUGUGAUUAUACACUCGAAAAGAAAACAACGCGUUUUAUUGAAAAAGGUGUGUUCUACAUUUGAUAAAUUCCAACACGUGACCAUAGACUCUCUACUUCAACAGCUUUACUUCAAGGGCAUACAAACAAUUGGGUAUGCGGACGAUAUAGCACUGAUAGUGAAAGACAAGUUCCUAGACACCAUUAGAAACGUAAUGAGAGGUGUUCUCAAAUGCGUCAAAAAAUGGUGUAGGGAACAAGGCCUGGUCAUCAAUGUCACGAAAUCAGACACUAUCCUCUUCACGAGGAAGAGAAGUCUGUCAGUGGAGCCCUUACAACUUUUCGAUAAUAACAUUCGCAUAUCAAAGUCGGUGAAGUAUCUAUGUGUUGUCCUAGAUAAUAAACUGACUUGGAAUGAACAUGUGGAUGAAAAGAUCAGGAAAGCGAAGAGAGGUCUAUUUCAAUGUAAGAGAGUGUCCGGAAGGCGAUGGGCGAUAUCCCCAAAAUCGAUGCACUGGAUCUAUACGAUGAUGGUCAGACAUAUUAUAACAUAUGCGUCAGUUGUCGGGGGUUUAAAAUCACCCAAAAGACAAUAAAAACGAAGUUAAAUAGAGUCCAGCGACUAGCCUGUGUUGGAAUAACAGGCGUUAUGCGAACUACACCAACACCGGCAUUAGAGGCGAUGCUAGAAUUGCUUCCGUUGGAUUUACAUAUAAAGAAAACGGCGGCACUGGCAGCAAUUCGCAUGAACCGGAGCUCCACGUGGAACAACUUCGGAAAAUUAGUGGGCCAUGGUAAGAUUCUUGAUCUCGACCAAACCGCGGUCAAGGAAACGCAGAUGCCAUUGGAGACUAUGAGGAGAGUUUAUGGGACAGAACUGUCCUAUAGAACACUAUAUAGUAGACGGCCUUCUAUAUAAUGAAUGUGAAAGGAAUGACAUAUGCAUAUUUAUCGAUGGCUCCUUAAUGGAUGGCAAAGCUGCUGCUGGGUUUACUCGAAAGAGCUAAAUCUAACGUGUACUCUACAUCUAGAAAUAUAUGUUUCCGUCUAUCAAGCGCAACUUAUGGCGGUCUCACAUGCUCUGGAUCACCUAUUUGAUUGUCAGGUGUAUCAGAAAAAGAUUCUGAUAGCGCUGGACAACCAAGCAGUUAUCAAAAGCAUGUAAAAGACAUACAUAGCCAACAGCUUAGUACAAGAAUGUGUAACGAAGCUCAUGGAAUGUGCUCAUGGAAAUGAGGUGACGAUUAUGUGGGUUAAAUUCUUAUGUGGGUUUCCAAUUCAAUCUGAGUAGGAUUUACUUCAGUUUAACGAAGAAAUCACUGGUGUUGAAGUAGUUGCUGCAUCAAUUAGACGCGUUAUUGACAAACAACCAAUUACGGGAAAGAUUUCGUGAAAUUUUGGAGAAAGUAUACUCAUAAAGUACAACUUUGAUGGUACACAAGGCAAGAAGUUCUUAAGAGCGUUGAAGAAUGUGACAGCAGCACUUUUUGAUGCUUUAAGGACAGAGGGUAAGCCGGAACAAGUGAUCGG